AGUGAACGCUGGCGGCGUGCUUAACACAUGCAAGUCGAACGAGAACGGGUUAUAGCCUGCUAUAAUUGUCAGCUAAGUGGCGCACGGGCGAGUAAUGUAUAGGUAAUAUGCCUCUUACUAAGGGAUAACAAUUGGAAACGAUUGCUAAUACCUUAUACUCCUUAUUAACCUAAGUUAAUAAGGGAAAGAUUUAUUGGUAAGAGAUUAGCCUGUAUUGUAUCAGUUAGUUGGUGGGGUAAUGGCCUACCAAGACUAUGACACAUAACUGGUUUGAGAGGAUGAUCAGUCACACUGGAACUGAGACACGGUCCAGACUCCUACGGGAGGCAGCAGUGGGGAAUAUUGCACAAUGGACGAAAGUCUGAUGCAGCAACGCCGCGUGGAGGAUGACACAUUUCGGUGCGUAAACUCCUUUUAUAUGAGAAGAUAAUGACGGUAUUAUAUGAAUAAGCACCGGCUAACUCCGUGCCAGCCGCCGCCGUAAUAC
rnacentral:rRNA from 1 species